GUGUGUGUGCGCGUUCCUUGCGGGCUCUGGCGGAAUACGCGAAAUCUGGCGUCACCUGCCGACCAAUGUGUGGAACUGCUGUUGCUGACGAAGAAAACAAGCUUUGGUUCCUCGCUCUUCAGGGGCCUAGUUCGCUCCCUAAAGCUUACACUUCCAAUUGUACAGCACCUUUCAAUAGGGCAAUAUCAAUUUCUACACUGUGUAGGCAAUUUAAUACCAACUGCAUAUAUCAGUUAAGCCUACCUACCAGCUCUGCCUGUUUGACAUUAUGUUGCCUAAUUUGGGGACAAGCUCUCACAACUUUGCUAGUGGUUGGUGAAUUCUGGAAGAAUGAAAAUGGCUGCACAAGAUGGAGCUUUGUAACAAUGAACACGUCCAGACGCAUGACACCAGUGUAGAGAAAAAAAUGGCUCUUCUCCAUCUGCAUUACAGAUAUAAUUUGCCAACCAUCAGCGACCAGCAUCAUCUCUGUAUCCAACACCUGAGCAUUGGAGCUCCAGAUUGCUGAGCUGAGGUGCUGCAUGAAAGACUUCGUGUGAUUCCUCUACAGCCACUGCCACCCCCUCAACAAUUUCUAUUGAUAUGAGAAAAUGGCAUAGCCAUAUUACACUUUGACAGGGGCAGAUGUGGGGAUUGCCCUGUAUCGCCUCAAGCCGCACACAUACCAGAAGUUUUAAAGUCAAAGAUUAGCAGUUCUGCAUCUACUACCUGGAGGAAGGGAGAAUUAGGACCAUAUGGCAAUGCCUAAUGCAUAGUACCUGCUUCAUGUAAACAUAGCACGAAAAAGAAGAAAGGGAUAAGAAAUGAAGCUGCCUUUCUGUGACUCAGACUCACCUAGUUCAGUGCAUUGUCUUCACUGACCUGUAGCAGAUCUCCAGAUAACCUUUGCCAAGGCUUAAUUCUAGAGACAGGAAAGGAAACAAUACUUCAUUGCCUGGAGAAAGUCAUUUGUUGCUAACAGAAGUGGCUGCUUGGUUUCAUCUCUAGCCCACUGGCCUUUUCAGACCAGUGACUGAAGACCACUCACUGAAGUGUGCAAUAUUUCAAGGAUAUUGUUUUACUCAUUGAUUUUAUAAAAUGAUUUUUUAAAAAGUU